CCAGCACUAAAGCACCGGAUCCCAUUAGAACUCCGAAGUUAAGCGUGCUUGG
rnacentral:rRNA from 1 species